rnacentral:rRNA from 1 species
AGACGUCUACAUUAGACUACCCGGGUAGUCCCAGCCGUAAACUAUGCGCGUUAGGUGUAUCGGUGACCACGAGUUACCGAGGUGCCGAAGGGAAACCGUGAAACGUGCCGCCUGGGAAGUACGGUCGCAAGGCUGAAACUUAAAGGAAUUGGCGGGGGAGCACCACAACAGGUGGAGCCUGCGGUUUAAUUGGACUCAACGCCGGGAAGCUCACCGGAUAGGACAGCAGAAUGAUUGCCGGGCUGAAGACCCUGCAUGACUAGCUG